rnacentral:rRNA from 1 species
GGGGUGAAGUCGUAACAAGGUAACCGUAGGGGAACCUGCGGUUGGAUCACCUCCUUACCUGAAAGAA